UCUCAUAAUGAAGACAUAGCCGAUUCUCUGC
rnacentral:piRNA from 1 species